rnacentral:misc_RNA from 1 species
UACGUACUGUGCGAGCGUUAUUCGGAAUCACUGGGCUUAAAGGGUGCGUAGGCGGCUACGCAAGUCAGGGGUGAAAUGCCACGGCUCAACCGUGGCGCCGCCUCUGAAACUGCAUGGCUUGAGCCCGCCAGGGGCGCGCGGAACUGCCGGUGGAGCGGUGAAAUGUGUUGAGAUCGGCAGGAACACCGGAGCCGAAAGGGGCGCGCUGGGGCGGGUCUGACGCUGAGGCACGAAAGCCAGGGGAGCGAACGGG